GCCCCUGUAGCUCAGCCGGUAGAGCACGUCCUUGGUAAGGACGAGGUCACCGGUUCAAAACCGGUCGGGGGCU
rfam:Omnitrophica WOR_2 bacterium RIFOXYA2_FTLL_38_17 rifoxya2_full_scaffold_57, whole genome shotgun sequence.